UCCAGCUCUCAGUCAGCUGACCAGGCCUUGUCUGUGCCCGGAUCAGUGUUACAGCGCUGGUAGAUGAAGUCUUUGCACCUGGUCUCAGCUGUGCGGACUCUGUUUUAGAGUCUGUGUCUUCUGAGCUGCUGCAGAGCGCGGCCCAACGAGAGUGGCCUGUCCUGAUCUAACAGCUGGACAGGCCUAGUAUAGGGCCACACAUU